GAUGAACGCUGGCGGCGUGCUUAACACAUGCAAGUCGAACGGUGAAGCCAAGCUUGCUUGGUGGAUCAGUGGCGAACGGGUGAGUAACACGUGAGCAACCUGCCCUGGACUCUGGGAUAAGCGCUGGAAACGGCGUCUAAUACUGGAUAUGAGCCUCUAUCGCAUGGUGGGGGUUGGAAAGAUUUUUUGGUCUGGGAUGGGCUCGCGGCCUAUCAGCUUGUUGGUGAGGUAAUGGCUCACCAAGGCGUCGACGGGUAGCCGGCCUGAGAGGGUGACCGGCCACACUGGGACUGAGACACGGCCCAGACUCCUACGGGAGGCAGCAGUGGGGAAUAUUGCACAAUGGGCGAAAGCCUGAUGCAGCAACGCCGCGUGAGGGAUGACGGCCUUCGGGUUGUAAACCUCUUUUAGCAGGGAAGAAGCGAAAGUGACGGUACCUGCAGAAAAAGCGCCGGCUAACUACGUGCCAGCAGCCGCGGUAAUACGUAGGGCGCAAGCGUUAUCCGGAAUUAUUGGGCGUAAAGAGCUCGUAGGCGGUUUGUCGCGUCUGCUGUGAAAUCCCGAGGCUCAACCUCGGGCCUGCAGUGGGUACGGGCAGACUAGAGUGCGGUAGGGGAGAUUGGAAUUCCUGGUGUAGCGGUGGAAUGCGCAGAUAUCAGGAGGAACACCGAUGGCGAAGGCAGAUCUCUGGGCCGUAACUGACGCUGAGGAGCGAAAGGGUGGGGAGCAAACAGGCUUAGAUACCCUGGUAGUCCACCCCGUAAACGUUGGGAACUAGUUGUGGGGACCAUUCCACGGUUUCCGUGACGCAGCUAACGCAUUAAGUUCCCCGCCUGGGGAGUACGGCCGCAAGGCUAAAACUCAAAGGAAUUGACGGGGACCCGCACAAGCGGCGGAGCAUGCGGAUUAAUUCGAUGCAACGCGAAGAACCUUACCAAGGCUUGACAUAUACGAGAACGGGCCAGAAAUGGUCAACUCUUUGGACACUCGUAAACAGGUGGUGCAUGGUUGUCGUCAGCUCGUGUCGUGAGAUGUUGGGUUAAGUCCCGCAACGAGCGCAACCCUCGUUCUAUGUUGCCAGCACGUAAUGGUGGGAACUC
rnacentral:rRNA from 3 species